rnacentral:rRNA from 1 species
GCGGCAGCUAUACAUGCAAGUCGAGCGCAGGAAGCUCACGGAACUCUUCGGAGGGAAGUGAAGGGAAUGAGCGGCGGACGGGUGAGUAACACGUAAGGAACCUGCCCCAAGGAUUGGGAUAACUCCGAGAAAUCGGAGCUAAUACCGAAUAGUUCUUCAGACCGCAUGGUCUGAUGAUGAAAGGCGCUCCGGCGUCACCUUGGGAUGGCCUUGCGGUGCAUUAGCUAGUUGGUGGGGUAAUGGCCCACCAAGGCGACGAUGCAUAGCCGACCUGAGAGGGUGAUCGGCCACACUGGGACUGAGACACGGCCCAGACUCCUACGGGAGGCAGCAGUAGGGAAUCUUCCACAAUGGACGAAAGUCUGAUGGAGCAACGCCGCGUGAGUGAUGAAGGUUUUCGGAUCGUAAAACUCUGUUGUAAGGGAAGAACAAGUACGAGAGGUAAUGCUCGUACCUUGACGGUACCUUGCGAGAAAGCCACGGCUAACUACGUGCCAGCAGCCGCGGUAAUACGUAGGUGGCAAGCGUUGUCCGGAAUUAUUGGGCGUAAGCGCGCGCAGGCGGCCUUUUAAGUCUGAUGUGAAAGCCCCCGGCUCAACCGGGGGAGGGUCAUUGGAAACUGGAAGGCUUGAGUACAGAAGAGAAGAGUGGAAUUCCAUGUGUAGCGGUGAAAUGCGUAGAGAUGUGGAGGAACACCAGUGGCGAAAGGCGACUCUUUGGUCUGUAACUGACGCUGAGGCGCGAAAGCGUGGGGAGCAAACAGGAUUAGAUACCCUGGGUAGUCCACGCCGUAACGAUGAGUGCUAGUGUUGGGGGGGGGUUUCCGGCCCCUCAGUGCUGAAGGCUACGGCAAUUUAAGCACUCCGCCUUGGGGGAGUAACGGCUGCAGCCUGGAACUUCAAGCAAUUGGACGGGGAACCCGCACAGCGGAUGAGCAAUGUG